rnacentral:rRNA from 1 species
CUCCAGUUGGAUGCAUGUCCUUCUGGGAAAGAUUCAUCGGUAUGGGAUGGGGUCGCGUCCUAUCAGCUUGAUGGCGGGGUAACGGCCCACCAUGGCUUCGACAGGUAGCCGGCCUGAGAGGGCGACCGGCCACAUUGGGACUGAGAUACGGCCCAGACUCCUACGGGAGGCAGCAGUGGGGAAUAUUGCACAAUGGGCGCAAGCCUGAUGCAGCGACGCCGCGUGCGGGAUGACGGCCUUCGGGUUGUAAACCGCUUUUGACUGGGAGCAAGCCCUUCGGGGUGAGUGUACCUUUCGAAUAAGCACCGGCUAACUACGUGCCAGCAGCCGCGGUAAUACGUAGGGUGCAAGCGUUAUCCGGAAUUAUUGGGCGUAAAGGGCUCGUAGGCGGUUCGUCGCGUCCGGUGUGAAAG